rnacentral:misc_RNA from 1 species
ACGCUGCGCGAUAUUCUCAAGAAAAGUCAUGGCCAUCAGAUGAUUUAAGGGCCGUACGUUCAGCUUCGUCAGGCGUGACAAGAACGCGCUGUCCAACGAUGAGGGAUCAGUUGUCGCAAAAGCAUAAACGAUGGGCAGGUCCCGGCGCUCAAGGCGCUUCAAUAGCGCGUCGCAAGCCGCGCGGGAUAAUGCAUGGCAUUCAUCGAAGAAACAGACCGUCCAGCGAUGCGCUUUCGCAAUAAACGGGACAUGCNCUCGGAAAGUGAUCCACCGCGUGCGGGGGUAUCGUAUUCCAACAGAAACUUCGCGCUGGUGC